AUGGCUCCUACCAAGGCUGAGGCUGAUGUAGAGGAGGGAGAAGAGCAGAAGAAGAAGGAAAGGAAAGCAGUCGGAGCUGCUUUCACGUGGAUUCAAAGGAACUUUGGGCAUUGCCCUGCGGAUGCCACUGAUGAUGUGAUACAGACACAUGCUCGUGUCUAUAUGUGGUACGUUGUCUCGAGGACUUUGUUUCCUGACUCCACAGGCAAGAACGCUCCAUGGAUGUGGCUGAAGGUGUUGACCGUCUUCGAUAGCGGAUGGAGCUGGGGUUCACGACUCUUGCUUACUUGUACCGAUAGGUAG
rnacentral:rRNA from 1 species